AAAGUAGAAGUUUCUUAAAUAUUUGACCUGCAAUCAAAAGUUGAUGAUAUAUUCGUCCUACUUUA
rnacentral:tRNA from 1 species